rnacentral:rRNA from 1 species
UACGGAGGGUGCAAGCGUUACACGGAAUCACGGUGCGUAAAGGGCGCGUAGGCGGCCUAGCAAGUCUGGUGUGAAAGCCCAGGGCUCAACCCUGGAAGGGCACUGGAAACUGUUAGGCUUGAGUUCCGGAGAUGAGGGGGGAAUUCCCGGUGUAGCGGUGAAAUGCGUAGAUAUCGGGAGGAAUACCGGUGGCGAAGGCGCCCCUCUGUACGGAAACUGACGCUGAGGCGCGAAAGCGUGGGGAGCAAACAGG